ensembl:piRNA 21ur-9011 ncRNA
UGCAUAUCCUUUUAAAAUGAA